rnacentral:lncRNA from 1 species
CAAUAGAGUCAUUUCCCAUGUGUUAAGGUGUGUUUGGUUCGCGUUAUCUUUUUAAGAUUUCAGAUAAUUCACUAGGAAUAAAGAAAAUAUGAUGGUGUUUGGCUAAAUGCACCAAGUAAUUUGACCGGCAAUGUUGGAUCCAUUUGAAAUUAAGAUUUACCCCAAAAUAAUACUCUUAUUCCUUUGGGAGAAGAUGGGCAUCCUCGUCCUAAUGAAUUGGGGUAAUCAUAAAUUUCUAUUACGAUCUACUCUUUUUCUACCUCCCCACCUUUGUCACUCACUUCUACCCUUUAAUCUCACUUUCUCUCUCUAAACCUAAACUCUCACUUUCUCUCUCUAGCUAACUUCAUCUCUCUAUCCCUUCUACAAUCCUCGAUGCUAUCUCUCUCCUUAUUUCCCUAAAGGGGUUUUUGGUAUCAUGUAGUUGCAACUGCACUACAAUUGAAACUACACGUAUAUCCAAAUCCAAUGUUUGGUUUAAUGUUUUUGAAUCCAACUGCUGCAGUUGGAACUGCAUGAGGGGGCACAACUGCAACAACUGUAACUAUGUCUACAUUGGUUGCAUUUCCAACUAUAGCAGUUGGAAAGAGAAAUUUUAAAUAAAAGGUAAGCUUAUCUCUCUAACAACUUCUUAAACAAAUAUAUAUAUUUUUCUACAUUGGAAGUAAUUUACCUCCCUAUAUAUAUAAUAGCAAAAUUUAAAAAUGUUCUUCUCAGCUAUAUAUAACCAAACAAAUUAUUUAUAAUUGCAGUGCUUUCUAUUAUAUCCAACCAAGCAAGCUGCAUAUAAUUAUAACCAUUACAUUUUCAACUGCAUGCUAUACUAUAUUUAUAAUUAUAUCCAACCAAAUAUCCCCUAAUUAUACUCUCGAACAUAUGCUCACUUUUUCUCUCUAAUCUCAACUCUCUCUCUCCCUCUAGCCGAAAUCUCUUACACACUUUCUAAUCCUCUCUCUCUCUCUAAGAUAAGCUAUCCAUCUCUCUUUUUCUCUCUAUAUCUCUAACAUAAAUACUUUCUUUCUCUCUCUCUCUCGCUCUCCCUAUCUAAUCCCAACUCUCUCCACCUUUAACCUCAAUUCGUUCUCUUUUGUAAGCUACGCUCUCUCAAUUUAACCUAAAAAUAAAUCUAACCUGAUUGUUGAAAUCAAAAAGAUAUUUACAUUACUGCUAAUACUACCCAAAAUUAAAUGACAAAACAAACACAUUCUCAAAUAAAAUACUAGCUAGAAUGCAACAUUCUUAGGAAUAGAAUGAGUAGGAAUCAAAUCCUUACAAAUCCUUCAUUCCUAAUAAUCUUUCAUGGUGCGAACCAAAUGCAGCCUUAAUGUUUGAUUUUUUUGUUUUAAUUAUAGUAUGUA